rnacentral:rRNA from 1 species
UACGUAGGGGGCAAGCGUUGUCCGGAUUUACUGGGCGUAAAGAGCGCGUAGGCGGAAGCUUAAGUGUGGCCUGAAAGCCCCCGGCUCAACCGGGGAGGGUGGCUGCAAACUGGGCUUCUUGAGGGCGGCAGAGGAGAGUGGAAUUCCUGGUGUAGCGGUGAAAUGCGUAGAUAUCAGGAGGAACACCCGAGGCGAAGGCGGCUCUCUGGGUCGUACCUGACGCUGAGGCGCGAAAGCGUGGGGAGCGAACGGG